rnacentral:lncRNA from 1 species
GGAGGUCCUGUGUUCAAAUCCCUACUUGAGCGUGGGUAUUAUUUUUGGCUCGAUUGCAUGGUAGAGUUUCGAUGCUUCUAGGAUUCUAGGGUAGUUGGAUGUGAAUUAGUGGGGAGUUAGGAUAUUAGUGGGUUUUUAAAUUAGAUUUUAUUAGAUUUUUAUUCUUUUUGUUUUUCCUAAAUUUUUUCUCAUCUUUUGACAUCUGUUUCCCUUUUCUCCUAUGCUGAAUUUUUGGUCUCUCCCUCUCCUUUUCGAUUUUUCCCAAUUUGCCUCCUUUUUGUGAAACGUUUGACUACUUUUGUUCGGUAAGUCUUGUAUUG